rnacentral:rRNA from 1 species
ACACGUAUGGGGCGAGCGUUGUUCGGAAUUAUUGGGCGUAAAGGGCGCGCAGGCGGUUUUGUAAGCCUGGUGUUAAAGGCUCUGGCUUAACCAGAGUUGAGCGCUGGGAACUGCAAGACUCGAGUUCUGGAGGGGGAGCUGGAAUUCCAGGUGUAGGGGUGAAAUCUGUAGAUAUCUGGAAGAACACCGGUGGCGAAGGCGAGCUCCUGGCCAUGAACUGACGCUGAGGCGCGAAAGCGUGGGGAGCGAACAGGAUUAGAUACCCUGGUAGUCCACGCUGUAAACGAUGUGCACUGGGCGUUGGGGCUGUUAGAGAGCCUCGGUGCCGUAGUUAACGCGUUAAGUGCACCGCCUGGGGAGUAUGCCCGCAAGGGUGAA